CCUACGGGGUGCUGCAGUGGGGAAUAUUGGACAAUGGGCGAAAGCCUGAUCCAGCCAUGCCGCGUGUGUGAAGAAGGCCUUCGGGUUGUAAAGCACUUUCAGUGGGGAAGAAAGCCUUGGGGCUAAUACCCUCGAGGAAGGACAUCACCCACAGAAGAAGCACCGGCUAACUCCGUGCCAGUAGCCGCGGUAAUACGGAGGGUGCGAGCGUUAAUCGGAAUUACUGGGCGUAAAGCGCGCGUAGGCGGUCUGAUAAGCCGGUUGUGAAAGCCCCGGGCUCAACCUGGGAACGGCAUCCGGAACUGUCAGGCUAGAGUGCAGGAGAGGAAGGUAGAAUUCCCGGUGUAGCAGUGAAAUGCGUAGAGAUCGGGAGGAAUACCAGUGGCGAAGGCGGCCUUCUGGACUGACACUGACGCUGAGGUGCGAAAGCGUGGGUAGCAAACAGGAUUAGAUACCCCAGUAGUC
rnacentral:rRNA from 1 species